rnacentral:rRNA from 1 species
AUGAACGUUGGCGGCGUGGAUUAGGCAUGCAAGUCGAGCGAGAACCCGCAAGGGGGACAGCGGCAAACGGGGUAGUAACGGGUAGGUGACGUACCCUCGGGUCGGGGAUAGCCACGGGAAACUGUGGGUAAUACCCGAUAAUCUCCGGAAGCGUGAGUGCUACUGGAGCAAAGGUGUGAUUCCACCGGAGGAGCGGCCUGCUUCGUAUUAGCUAGUUGGUGAGGUAACGGCUCACCAAGGCGACGAUGCGUAGGGGGUGUGAGAGCAUGACCCCCACCACUGGGACUGAGAUACUGCCCAGACACCUACGGGUGGCUGCAGUCGAGAAUCUUCGGCAAUGGGCGCAAGCCUGACCGAGCGACGCCGCGUGUGGGAUGAAGGCCCUUGGGUUGUAAACCACUGUCAGAGGGGAUGAAGUGCGGGAGAGCUAUCUCUUCCGUUUGACAUAGCCUCAGAGGAAGCACGGGCUAAGUUCGU